rnacentral:lncRNA from 1 species
CCUCAUUUUCUGUGAUUUCUUGCAGCCAAUCUGAAGACAAAGCCCCCCAUCAGAAACAUAAUAGAGUUAAAAGGCCAUGGCCCAGCCCAAGGGGCCAUCAACUUCCUCCGGCUCACCUCCGCAAACCUUGACCCACCUCAUCAUGCAAAGCCAGCAACUCAGGAGAAAAGACAACGAGGAGGGAGCGGCCAGAGGGGUGGAAAUGGGAGCACGUGACCUCGCAAGAAGCAGGGAGGGAGAGAGAACACUGAGUCCGCUCGCUUUUAGAGCAGGUGAGUGGGGUCAAAGGGCUGGAAGGUUCCGUUC